rnacentral:lncRNA from 1 species
UCUGAGGAAUGCAGUGAUGUCCAUCAGUCAGUCACCUCUCACCCAGAGCCUGGCAAAUUCAAUCUCUUUCACAGAACCUAAAGCCAAGCCAGGUUCAACAGGAAAUCCCACCUGUCCAAACACUGUGUGAGAUACCAGAAGUAGAGGCCUGCAAGCCUGCUUCCGCCAUCUCUGAUGCUCAGAUGGGACAGGUCACCAGCGUCCUGUAUCUACCCCCACCUUUCUUGCUUGCUGGCGUCCUCUCUCUGCAGUGCUUCUCUCAUCCCUGCAAUCCAGACAACACAUGCAGGAGCUCAAAUAAGUGCCACCUCUGGAUGUGAGAAACAGGACCCAAAGAGGGGAAAUCAUUUUAAUCUUGUCCUGGAAUUGCUUUGUGUUCCUGGAUUUGGAGAAUUUCUUGGAACACAGGAAAAGGAAAGCCAACUCCAUUCCUGGCUACCUUAUCCCCUCCAGUCUGAAAGGACGUGUGAAUGCCACCAGGAUCUGAACCCAAGAUCUCCAGCCUCCAUCACCAUCCUGACCCUGAGAAUGCCACUGGGAUGGGGAGAACUUGCCAGUCUUCAUCCUUCCCCACAAGUGUACUGAGGCCAGGACAGGCUCAGCUCCAGAAGCAGACCCAGAAUGGCAUCCUUCUCUGAGACCCAGACUCCAGCCUCUCUUCAUGGAAGACCAGAGCAAAGGAGGAAGUAGGUUAGGGAAUGGUAAGGCUCCAUGUGAUGGGACUAAUGUGGAGAGGCCUGGGGCCUUUCCCUGAGGACUGGAUGGCUGGAGUUUGGGAGCCUGAGUUGACAGAGGAGGCUAAGCCCUGGCAGCUACUUUGUUCCAGAAAUCUAAGGUCCCUGGAGAGAGGCUCAGCUUGGGGAGGGGGAAGGGAACUAACAUUGCAGAGCACCAACUGUGAGCCAGGUGCAAUGGCAGAGCCUUUCCAUACCUGUACUCACAACUAGCGGGUGAUGAGUCAGGGCAAAUAGGUGUCUCAUGAGCUCCCCAUAUCUCGGCAGCCGACCACCUUCUCCGUUGAUUUUGUGAUGUCACUGCCAGUUCUCCUACUGCUCUGACCGGUCUUUCUCUGUGUCCUUCGCAAACUCAUUCUCAACUCCUUAGACUCAGUCAAGUCCCCCAGUUAUACACUUCGAUUGUUCUAUAUAUUGUUCCUUCAGGGCACUUAACACAGUUAUUUCCUAUGUAUUUGUCCAGUCAUUUGAAUAAUGAUCCUAGUUUCAUUGGAUGGAAAGUUCCACAAGGUCAGUGACCAUUUCUAUCUGUAUUCACCAAUGUAUUCCCAGUGCCCAGAAACAAUGCCUAGCAUAAAGCAGCUGUUUGGUAAAUACUUGUUCAAUGAAUGAAUAAAUGACAAAAGAACAUCUCUCUGGCCUAAACU